GGGAUAGAGCUCAAUUUAAAAUCUGAUAGUCUUUGGCUGUCCGAAUUGUAAUCUAGAGAAGUGUUUUCCGCGUUGGACCAUGUACAAGUUUCCUGGAACGCGAACGUCAUAGAGGGUGAGAAUCCCGUCCUUGACACGGACUACCAGUGCUUUGUGAUACACUCUCAACGAGUCGAGUUGUUUGGGAUUGCAGCUCAAAAUGGGAGGUAAAUUCCUUCUAAAGCUAGAUAUUGGCGAGAGACCGAUAGCGAACAAGUACCGUGAGGGAAAGAUGAAAAGCACUUUGGAAAGAGAGUUAAACAGUACGUGAAAUUGUUAAAAGGGUCACGAWUGUAAGUCAGUCGCGUGUUACUUGGACUCUGCCUUACCUCGGUUUGGUGCAUUUCCUUGUGAACGGGCCAGCGUCAAUGUUGUCCGUGUAGAAAAGGGUUGGAGGAAAUGUGGCUCUUCUUUCGGAGAGAGUUAUUAGACUCUGUGAGUAAUAUCAAGCAGCCGUCAUGAUGUUGGAGUGCUGCCGAUGGUUGGGCGGUG
rnacentral:rRNA from 1 species